GGGCGUGUGGCUCAGUUGGUAGAGCGUUCGCUUAGCAGCAUGUUGUUCCCACCGCAUGCGAAAGGUCCUGGGUUCGAUUCCCAGCUCGUCCA